CUAGCCCUUAACCUUAUAAUGCAGGGCAAGGGUAAUCUCGUAAGCCUUGGUAUCCCGAGGUUAGCGGCGGACGGGUGAGUAACACGUGGGUAACCUGCCCAUAAGACUGGGAUAACUCCGGGAAACCGGGGCUAAUACCGGAUAACAUUUUGAACUGCAUGGUUCGAAAUUGAAAGGCGGCUUCCGCUGUCACUUAUGGAUGGACCCGCGUCGCAUUAGCUAGUUGGUGAAGUUACGGCUCACCAAUGCAACCAUUCCUAACCCAACUGAAAAGGGGAAUGGCCACUUUGGGACUUGAACCCCGUCCCAAAUUCUUACGGAAGGCAGCAGUUGGGAAUCUCCCCGAUUGAACGAAGGUCUGACGGACCAACGCCCCGUCAGUGAUGAAGGCUUUCCGGUCGUAAAACUCUGUUGUUAGGGAAGAACAAGUGCUACCUUGAAUAAGCUGGCCCCUUGACGGAACCUAACCAGAAAGCCACGGCUAACUACGUGCCAGCAGCCGCGGGUA
rnacentral:rRNA from 1 species